ACCAGGCAUUGUGUCACGUGUGUGUAGUCCCAUCUACUCAGGAGGCUGAGACAGGAGGAUUGCUUGAGCCCAGAAGUUCUGGACUGAGUGUGUACACUAAGUUCAGAAUCAAUGUGCUGACCUCCUACAAGAGAAGGGAGCACCAGGUUGCCUAUGGAGGAGUGAACCAGCCCAGGUCAAAAACGGAGCAGGUGAAAACUGUCGUACUGAUCAGUGGUGGAGUCAUACCUGUGAGUGGUGCCUGGGCAGCACAGUGAGACCCCAGCUCU
rnacentral:SRP_RNA from 1 species